AGUGAACGCUGGCGGUAGGCCUAACACAUGCAAGUCGAACGGCAGCACAGGAGAGCUUGCUCUCUGGGUGGCGAGUGGCGGACGGGUGAGGAAUGCAUCGGAAUCUACUCUUUCGUGGGGGAUAACGUAGGGAAACUUACGCUAAUACCGCAUACGACCUACGGGUGAAAGCCGGGGACCUUCGGGCCUGGCGCGAAUGAAUGAGCCUAUGACCGAGUAGCUAGUUGGCGGGGUAAGAGCCCACCAAGGCGACGAUCGGUAGCUGGUCUGAGAGGAUGAUCAGCCACACUGGAACUGAGACACGGUCCAGACUCCUACGGGAGGCAGCAGUGGGGAAUAUUGGACAAUGGGCGCAAGCCUGAUCCAGCCAUACCGCGUGGGUGAAGAAGGCCUUCGGGUUGUAAAGCCCUUUUGUUGGGAAAGAAAAGCAGUCGGUUAAUACCCGAUUGUUCUGACGGUACCCAAAGAAUAAGCACCGGCUAACUUCGUGCCAGCCGCCGCGGUAAUAC
rnacentral:rRNA from 1 species